rnacentral:rRNA from 1 species
CGCCUCUUGCACCCGUAUGAGAGGUCCAGCCUGCCCAGUGACUAAGUUCAACGGCCGCGGUAUCCUAACCGUGCGAAGGUAGCGUAAUCACUUGUUCUUUAAAUGAGGACUAGUAUGAAUGGCACCACGAGGGUUAUGCUGUCUCCUUUUUCUAAUCAAUGAAACUGAUCUCCCCGUGAAGAAGCGGGGAUGUAAGUAUAAGACGAGAAGACCCUAUGGAGCUUUAAACAACGUAACACUGACUUACAUAUUAUAAUGUUCCAGAACUAUCAUAAUUAUUCUAGCCUCUAUGAUUACUAGUUUUAGGUUGGGGUGACCACGGAGAAAAAAUUAACCUCCAUGUUGAAUGGAAUUAUUCCUGAGCUAAAAGCCACGACUUUAAGCACUAAUAAAUUAACAUAAAUUGACCCAAUAUUUUGAUCAACGAACCAAGUUACCCUAGGGAUAACAGCGCA